rnacentral:lncRNA from 10 species
CUAGUUAAAUGUUGACAGAGCAACUUGACAUACAGCUCAAAGAGUUUUCCAGCCACUCCUACUGCCCCACAGAGCCUCAUUCUGAUUGUCAUUGUCCCAGGAUUCAAUAAGAAUCAAAAAGGAAAAAGGAAGGAAACUUAGAAAUCAUCUAUCCCAUACCCUGAAUCUUAUGGAUAAGGAAAGUUGAGGCACAGAAAGGGGAAAUGAGAGACACAGAUUACCCAGGCAAGAGUGUCAGUUUCCAUGUCUGUGAACUGGAGAUAAGAUUCGUCUCUAAAUACAGAUGUCAUGGUGGCUCUCUCACCAGCACACCCGCGGUCACCAGCCUUGUGCUCCUGUGCUCUCCUGGCAACCAGUUUCCCACUCUACCCUGCAGUGAGUAGGAUCAGCCACCAGAGAGCCUGUCAAUUCACAAGCUCUUGUGCUUCAUUUGAGCCAGAAGACACCACUGAACAGAUCAUGGUUUCAGUACCUACACUGGCUGUUUUUCAUUCAAGGUGCAAGAGUGGUUCCAAAAGCUAUGCAAGGGAUUACUUUUUGCCAAACUAAUUAUCACAAUUAUUGAGAAAUAUGACAAAGACCUAAAAGUAUCAAACAUUGCCUACAUUUGAUAGGCUUUGAAUAAAAGAUAAGUUAAUUUCAACAGGCUGUGAUUAAAACUGUCCAUAAUAAUAAUAAUGAUAAAACAAUUGUCAUAUGUUGAGAUUAAUAAAUGUUACACAAAAUGUUUCAAAUGUAUUUUAUCUUCUACAGUCUAUAAGAUGGACACUAUAAUUUUCCCCAUUUUAUAUUUGAGGUUUAGGCCAUUGUUAAAGCUUUCCCAGAGUUAUAUAUCUGAUAUGGCAGAGCCAGGGCCUUCAGGAGAGACGCUGGAAUACCUUUGUUGAAAAUUAAGCUAGACUCUAGUAGUUCUCAGUUGAAUUAAUUGGGAACAAUUUACCAAGUAAUGAAUAAUUGGUACAAAACUGUAAGUAAUAAAAUGCUGAAUAGUGAAAAAGAGAUUCUGAAGUCCUAGAGAGAUCAGCAAAAAAGCAAAUCCAAAGCAGAAGGCUCGCAGUAGAAGGUGCAAUGUGAGCUGUGCUUUGAAACGGCUCUGAUGGUACAAAAAGAGGAACAAAGACAGAGACAGCAGGAUGGAAGGGAUUGGAAGGUUA